rnacentral:rRNA from 1 species
UACGUAGGGGGCAAGCGUUGUCCGGAAUCAUUGGGCGUAAAGAGCGUGUAGGCGGCCCGAUAAGUCCGCUGUGAAAGUCCAGGGCUCAACCCUGGAAUGCCAGUGGAAACUGUCGGGCUGGAGUCCGGAAGAGGCGAGUGGAAUUCCUGGUGUAGCGGUGAAAUGCGCAGAUAUCAGGAGGAACACCGGUGGCGAAGGCGGCUCGCUGGGACGUUACUGACGCUGAGACGCGAAAGCGUGGGGAGCAAACAGG